rnacentral:rRNA from 1 species
CCUACGGGAGGCAGCAGUGAGGAAUAUUGGUCAAUGGACGAGAGUCUGAACCAGCCAAGUAGCGUGAAGGAUGAAUGCCCUAUGGGUUGUAAACUUCUUUUAUAUGGGAAUAAAAUGUUCCACGUGUGGGAUUUUGUAUGUACCAUAUGAAUAAGGAUCGGCUAACUCCGUGCCAGCAGCCGCGGUAAUACGGAGGAUCCGAGCGUUAUACGGAUUUAGUGGGGUUAAAGGGAGCGUAGGUGGAUUGUUAAGUUAGUUGUGAAAGUUUGCGGCUCAACCGUAAAAUUGCAGUUGAAACUGGCAGUCUUGAGUACAGUAGAGGUGGGCGGAAUUCGUGGUGUAGCGGUGAAAUGCUUAGAUAUCACGAAGAACUCCGAUUGCGAAGGCAGCUCACUGGACCGCAACUGACACUGAGGCUCGAAAGUGUGGGUAUCAAACAGGAUUAGAUACCCCGGUAGUC